GUGGGGAAUAUUGGACAAUGGGCGAAAGCCUGAUCCAGCCAUGCCGCGUGUGUGAAGAAGGUCUUCGGAUUGUAAAGCACUUUAAGUUGGGAGGAAGGGCAGUAAGUUAAUACCUUGCUGUUUUGAUGUUACCGACAGAAUAAGCACCGGCUAACUUCGUGCCAGCAGCCGCGGUAAUACGAAGGGUGCAAGCGUUAAUCGGAAUUACUGGGCGUAAAGCGCGCGUAGGUGGUUUUGUAAGUUAGAGGUGAAAUCCCCGGGCUCAACCUGGGAACUGCCUCCAAAACUGCAUGACUAGAGUACGGUAGAGGGUAGUGGAAUUUCCUGUGUAGCGGUGAAAUGCGUAGAUAUAGGAAGGAACACCAGUGGCGAAGGCGACUACCUGGACUGAUACUGACACUGAGGUGCGAAAGCGUGGGGAGCAAACAGGAUUAGAAACCCGAGUAGUCC
rnacentral:rRNA from 1 species